GCGGGUCUCGUUGUUAUCACGCUGACUCUCCAAUGCGAGCUAAUAAACGCAACGCUUGUCACAUAUCGAGGUUCAAUUUCCAGCUUCUAACCGAACAUAACAGUGUUAUAACGCAUAAUUGCCUAGCACUAUAACUUAAGUAAAGUAUUCCGGCUUUCUCGAGGAAACUCUUCCAGCGUCAACGUCGUCGUCGUCGUCGUCGUAGUUGUUAUAACUGCCAGAACACCAUUCGCGGACGGUCAUCAAUGGACGAUUACACCAUAGUAAGUAGCCAUCCAAGGAUAACCAGUUUUUCACUGUCUAGUGACGGCUACAUGCACACAGUAAGAGAACGAAAAAGAUGCCGGAAGAAGAUGCGAAAAGGUGGAAAUCGUGCGACCCGCGGAAUGAAGGAGUUAACAAGAGCGCACCGGACAGCAUGACAGUAGCGUGUCAUGAUGAACUAGCUACAGAUCAGUGAUGUAGCAGGACAAUUCUAAACAAUGUGUGCCAGAUCCGUGCUCCUUCCGUGGUGAGCGUUCUCUCAUCCACCCAAUGGUACGGAAGCCGGGAUAAUCCCCGGAUAAGUGGAACCCCUCGCUCGCAGUAAUGGUUGUGCUCAAACAAAGAAAACACGGAGACUCUCGCCGCAGGACGAAUCAGGAGAAUUCUUUCUUGCAGGAGGGCUUACAGCACAGCUGUCACAGCAGUGACAUACAUAUUAUCUCGUCGCUCAUAAUUUCGACGUACGUCUGAUUUAGAGUGUUUACACUGCUGUUAUUUCGACUUAUGAACAGUGAAUUUGAACAUAAAUAAAAAGCGCAAUGAAUGCAACGAAUGUUGAAUUAAUUCUUAUUAGGCUAUAAGUACCUACACCCUCUGUAUCCUCAAAGUAUAGGUGUAGAUAACCAACGAUAACUUGCAUAAAUACGUGGUUUUAUUGGUUUAAAAGAUUUACUUCAUCAAGUUCCAACUUGAACCGCAAGGCGUAUUCUUUGUUACCAAUGCAGUUGCUUCAAAUUAUUCUCUUUUUUUGUCUAUAUUUGAUAAUGAUAUGUUGAUCACACACUAGUACGUGUGCGUGCUUGUACUCAACCAGUAUCUAGUUCAACGAACCUGCUCGCGUUUACUGCACGGCAUUUUCGUAUACGCGAUGAUAUUCAUACGUGCGUGCGUAGUAAUAAUAUUGUUUACGAGUAUUAUGAAUCCAUUGAUUAGAGGCGUAUAUAUACUGAUGUUUUGUUGUAAUAUUUAUUGUUGCAAGCUAUCGCCACACUUCCGCGAUGUUGUUGGAUAUUACGCUAGUAUUUUACAGUGUGAAACAUUCAAGAUGAAUAGCAUCCAAAGCGAAAAGCAUAUAUAACCACAAAUUACAAUCCUAAACAGGCAGCGGUUGUGCGAAUAGAGCUUUAUGUCUCAAAACACAUUUAGACCGGUGAAAUACGCUGAAAUAUAUACCAUGUAAAACCAAUGAAGUUUGAGAGGUUCUAGCGAUAAGCUGCGGUGCUGUUUUUGGUUGCUGUAUGUUGGCUAUUUCUGUGCUUCAUAUGUUUUCAUUCCCUCAUGAUGUAUGUGACACCCGACCUUCGCUUGCUCUGUUUCCAUCCGACACAUGUGAAAAUUGCAUUAGAUCCUGUUUGGUUAGCAACCUCCAUGAUUAUCGUCAUGUUGGUCGUGGGUUCGAAUCCCGCAAGGACUCAGUAAUUUUUCUGUGUGUCUACGGAGUUUGGAAGGAGGAUGAAGAACUCUGCAGUAAGUUGUUUUUCUUGAUAGCCGAGCGCAUGAGGAAACCCCUAAAAUAGUUACGGAAUUAUUGUAUAUGAAAAAUAGAGCAUGAAGUGUUGCUAAUUUUAUCCAGAGGAUAUGCGAUACUAGUACGCGUAGUGAGACGUUAUAGUAAAGUGUGCUGAGAGUGUUUUACAUCGGAGCUGGCAUGCGAAUACACAUUCGAGAAUACACAUGUAUGCAUGUUACAGUAGUUGUAUUGCUGCUUCAAUAACUGCUGCAGCGUCACGAUUGUACUGAAGAUGAGCUACACCGUGAUGGUGCCUGAUGUGAUGCUUGUAAUAAUGGAAUUGUUAUGGCGCGAUAUUAGGUGGGGGAGGGGCCUUAUUGCCGAGAAAAGCUUCGUGUGCAUUAUUUGGAUCGAUCUAUGCACUUCAUAUGAAAAUCAGCACGCUGAACUCAUAUAGCCUGUAAGCGCACACACAAUAAAUAAUGGGUCGAGAUAAAUAUUCACGAAACUGUCUGAUAUUUAGUGAACAUUUGAUGCAUAAACUUUAUCCGCCGUGGUUAAAUGUUUAAUUAACUGAGUGUAAUGAAUAAAUUAGAUAUUUUUCGUAGAUCGCACCGAAUAACAAUACAAUAUACUAGCAAUAAAU